rnacentral:rRNA from 1 species
UACGGGGGGGACAAGCGUUGUUCGGAAUUACUGGGCGUAAAGCGUGCGCAGGCGGUUUGUUAAGUCCGCUGUGAAAGCCCCGGGCUCAACCUGGGAAUGGCGGUGGAAACUGGCGAGCUAGAGUGUGUCAGAGGGGGGUGGAAUUCCACGUGUAGCAGUGAAAUGCGUAGAGAUGUGGAGGAACACCAAUGGCGAAGGCAGCCCCCUGGGAUAACACUGACGCUCAGGCACGAAAGCGUGGGGAGCAAACAGG